rnacentral:lncRNA from 1 species
UAUCCAUUUCUCAUUUCCUCCUAUAUGGAGUAAAACAGCUGGUUUAUUUUGUCACUGGAAAGAACAGAAAUUCGUGUCAAUAUUAUGGACUUGCUUGUAUUUCUGUCUGCAUCUGAAAGUUGCUCUCAGCUGAGGUGAACAUGACACCAGCGAGGGUUUAGCUCCAGGAAUUUGGGGGCACAUCUCAAACCAAGGAGGAAUAUUGAAGCUGGACCUGAUUUAAGCGUAAAAAACAAAAGGAGGGAGUUCCGAAGAAAGCUUCCUCUCAUGGUGUCAAGCAGUACUGGAGAAUUUGGCACUAGCAAAUCCAGAUUUGUUCCAACAGCUUUUUAGCUGUAGGUUGACUGCAGCCCCUUGAACCAGCCUGAAUUUUACAUUUGCCUCUCUGGAGCUGAGGUUAUUUCUAAAUUCACUGGAUUGCAUCUGUCAAAUCAGGAAGUUAGCAAUGCUCUGAACUAAGUUAGCAUAUGGCAGCAAUGGGCUAGGUCUCCUGCCCAAUUUUUCUGUCAAUUUUGACUAUUGGAAAACCCAGUAGCAAUGAGAAGUCUAGAAUGAUCCCAGAGCUAGAAACCUUCAUGUUCUCUUAUCUGAAGGUAACAUUUCAGGAUCACGUGAAAGUUUAACUAC